UGGUGGAGUGAUUUGUCUGGUUAAUUCCGAUAACGAACGAGACCUUAACCUGCUAAAUAGCCAGGCCGGCUGCGGCUGGUCGCCGGCUUCUUAGAGGGACUGUCAGCGUCUAGCUGACGGAAGUUUGAGGCAAUAACA
rnacentral:rRNA from 1 species